rnacentral:misc_RNA from 1 species
UUGAGGCGUUUACUUGACGCU